AAACGGAACUUCAAAAGUAUUAAAACAAACAAGCAAACCAUGACAAUUUUUAACAGCUAAUUUCCACUUCAUAUACAUUUGUACUUCCUGAUUCAACCUGAGAUGAGAAAUAGAAGCACAGAUAUACCACAGUAAAGCCUCUGUUUGUAGCUGUUCCAACAUGACCUGAAACAGUGGGUAUUAAUGAUAUUAGGAGAAAACUAAUUCUCAUUAAAUUAGUUGAAGCCACUUUGCAAAAUUUAAGAAGUUUUUAAAGUUCAAGUAAAGGUAUAUCUAUUUUCUGAGUAUUUGUGUUGGAGGGCAGGUUGCUCGGCAGCACGUAGCUACUGAUUUACUAAUGAUUUACGAUGUAAUCUUAGAUGAAAGGGGCAAGUUAUACCUGCAUGGAAUGUGGUGUUUCUAGUAGAGUUCUGUACUUAACAACAUGUACUGUACACAAAAUUAGCCUGGGUAACGGUAUUGUUCUCUUAUACGCUUGGUCGCAUAGACCCUGUAUCCCUGGAAGCAUAUAUGCUAUAUAAGAUGGUGUGUUGCUACAAUAAAGUUGAAGCUGCGUGCACUCACAUUGAGUGGUCGUGCUUCCCCACGCAAGGAGGGCAACCCUUUGGGAAAACUUGGGGCGUUUCCCAACAUAUUUGAAUCAAAUAUUUCUGGGUUUAUGUAUUUCCUUGAUUUAGCGGCCUCCUGGCCCCAGGGCAAUAGGAAACAAAUGCUCAGGGGGACAAAGGUAUGAGGAACGUUGCUGCUGCCUCAACCUCACUUGCUCAAAAGGCGCAUUCCCAACCCUACAGCUCAGACUGGCCAACCCUAAAGAGCUGGAGUAGUUACAAAGUGAGCUGGAAGCAUGGACUAGGGGGAAAAGAGCAGAGGAUUCACCUGCCAGAUGAUUUUCUUUCAUGUUGGCAGAUGUCAGCUAGUAACAAGGAAGGAAAAUAUGAAGACUUCUAACAAAUAUUUUUAUUUUUCACCCUUUACUGCACCUAAGAGAUGCAUAAGAUCUACAUUACAACAAGGAAAAAAUGAAAGCCUUUCUUAUUUUGCAGUUGCUUGAUUGUUUGAAUUUCAAUUGAGAGAGAAAAAAAUACCAUGUAUUUCUAGAUUCUGUAUUACUAAGGCAAAACUUUGCCAUAGAAAUAUAUAAGCAAGACUAACUGCAGUUUAAGUUGGUGCAACAAGUAUCUGUAAGGUGGGGGAAGGGAAAUCAAUAAAACCACAUUUCAACAUUUUUAACA
rnacentral:lncRNA from 1 species